rnacentral:rRNA from 1 species
UACGUAGGGUGCGAGCGUUGUCCGGAAUUAUUGGGCGUAAAGGGCUCGUAGGCGGUUUGUCGCGUCGGGAGUGAAAACUCAGGGCUUAACCCUGAGCCUGCUUCCGAUACGGGCAGACUAGAGGUAUGCAGGGGAGAACGGAAUUCCUGGGUGUAGCGGUGAAAUGCGCAGAGUAUCAGGAGGAACACCGGUGGCGAAGGCGGUCUCUGGGCAUUACCUGACGCUGAGGAGCGAAAGUGUGGGGAGCGAACAGG